rnacentral:lncRNA from 1 species
GGCAACAGGAAGAGGGGCGCUGUCUGAGACACAGGCCCUCAACCAUUGAGUGGGGAGCAAGAGAGAGAGCAAGGGACUACAACUUUAUUGGGAUCCCGGGCAUUAUCCAAGCAGACUCAUUUCAGUGGCAAUGUAAAUUUGGGAGAACGAAAUUAUCAUCUCACAUCUGCCACCAACUGCUGUUAGCUGUAGAAUGUCAUACGCGUCCAUGUGAAGAGACCACCAAACAGGAUUUGUAUGGAGUGCAGAUAUUUUCAUCCAGAAGUUCUUAGAUGAUGUGUUCCAAUCACUUUAUAGAGUGGCUUCUUCUUCA